rnacentral:lncRNA from 1 species
AGGGGUGCCAGCGGAUCUGCGUGCGAGAGUGCCGGUUCAAGGCGGCGAGAUGAUCAAAAAGGGCGGCGGUUGUGGCUUCGAUUAAUGCCGUUUUGGAACUGCAGUCAUGGCAAAAAGUCCGGAAAAUUGGACAGCGAAGGGUUUCUCCGUCUGAAAUUUCAGACAUUCUUAUACACUGACUCUAUAGGGCCGUGGGGUGCCGAAAAGGA